CCCGCAGGCAAUCCGCCUGCGGGGCCCUGACCCCGGUACCUGAUACGGCCGGGGCAG
rnacentral:ncRNA from 1 species